AUUGAACGCUGGCGGCAGGCCUAACACGUGCAAGUCGAGCGGAAACGAAGAGGAGCUUGCUCCUUUGGCGUCGAGCGGCGGACGGGUGAGUAAUGCCUAGGAAAUUGCCUUGAUGUGGGGGAUAACCAUUGGAAACGAUGGCUAAUACCGCAUAAUGCCUACGGGCCAAAGAGGGGGAUCUUCGGACCUCUCGCGUCAAGAUAUGCCUAAGUGGGAUUAGCUAGUUGGUGAGGUAAUGGCUCACCAAGGCGACGAUCCCUAGCUGGUCUGAGAGGAUGAUCAGCCACACUGGAACUGAGACACGGUCCAG
rnacentral:rRNA from 1 species